GGAAAAACCGCCGUGCAACCCAAAGGUGUGACGCAUACCGAACUAAAGUUGGGAAAUGUGUGUGCCGGCUGCCGAGAAAAGCCGCUAUUGUUUGUACUGUACCCGUACCGUAAACCGACACAGGUGGAUGAGGAGAGAAUCCUAAGGCCGACGGAAGAAGCAUUGUUAAGGAACUCGGCAAAAUGACCCUGUAACUUCGGGAGAAAGGGUGCCUCGAAAGAGGCCGCAGAGAAUAGGCCCAAGCAACUGUUUAGCAAAAACACAGGUCUAUGCAAAACCGCAAGGUGAAGUAUAUGGGCUGACGCCUGCCCGGUGCUGGAAGGUUAAGGGGAGAUGUCAGGAGACGAAGCAUCGAACUUAAGCCCCAGUAAACGGCGGCCGUAACGAUAACGGUCCUAAGGUAGCGAAAUUCCCUGUCGGGUAAGUUCCGACCCGCACGAAAGGCGUAAUGAUUUGGGCGCUGUCUCGGCAAUGCAUCCGGUGAAAUUGAAGUGCCAGUGAAGAUGCUGGCUACCCGCGCCAGGACGGAAAGACCCCAUGGAGCUUUACUCCAGCUUGAUACUGGGAUUCGGUAUUGUAUGUACAGGAUAGGUGGGAGGCUGAGAAAUGGUGACGCCAGUCGCCAUGGAGCCGCUGUUGGGAUACCACCCUUGCAGUACUGGAUUUCUAACCAGCAGCCGUGAUCCGGCUGGGGGACAAUGUCAGGUGGGGAGUUUGACUGGGGCGGUCGCCUCCGAAAGGGUAUCGGAGGCGCUCAAAGGUUCCCUCAGAAUGGUCGGAAACCAUUCGAAGAGUGCAAAGGCAGAAGGGAGCUUGACUGCGACACCGACGGGUGGGGCAGGUACGAAAGUAGGACUUAGUGAUCCGGUGGUAUUAAGUGGGAAUGCCAUCGCUCAACGGAUAAAAGCUACCCGGGGGAUAACAGGCUUAUCACUCCCAAGAGUUCACAUCGACGGAGUGGUUUGGCACCUCGAUGUCGGCUCAUCGCAUCCUGGGGCUGUAGUAGGUCCCAAGGGUUGGGCUGUUCGCCCAUUAAAGCGGUACGCGAGCUGGGUUCAGAACGUCGUGAGACAGUUCGGUCCCUAUCCGGCGUGGGCGUAGGAUAUUUGAGAGGAGCUGACCUUAGUACGAGAGGACCGGGUUGGACUGACCUCUGGUGCACCGGUUGUCAUGCCAAUGGCACAGCCGGGUAGCCAAGUCGGGAAGGGAUAAACGCUGAAGGCAUCUAAGCGUGAAGCCCCCCUCAAGAUGAGAUAUCCCCCGCAUAAGCGGUAAGACCCCUUGAAGACGACGAGGUAGAUAGGGCAGAGGUGGAAGUGCAGUAAUGUAUGGAGCUGACUGCUACUAAUAGGUCGAAGGCUC
rnacentral:rRNA from 1 species